rnacentral:rRNA from 1 species
AUACGGAGGGUGCAAGCGUUACUCGGAAUCACUGGGCGUAAAGCGCGCGCAGGCGGCCAUUUAAGUUGGAUGUGAAAGCCUACGGCUCAACCGUAGAACUGCAUCCAAAACUAUUUGGCUAGAGUGUGGGAGAGGAAGAUGGAAUUAGUUGUGUAGGGGUAAAAUCCGUAGAGAUAACUAGGAAUACCAAAAGCGAAGGCAGUCUUCUGGAACACUACUGACGCUGAGGCGCGAAGGCGUGGGGAGCAAACAGGAUUAGAAACCCGGGUAGUCC